rnacentral:rRNA from 1 species
UACGUAGGGGGCUAGCGUUGUCCGGAAUCAUUGGGCGUAAAGCGCGCGUAGGCUACCAGAUAAGUCCGGUGUGAAAGUCAAAGGCUCAACCUUUGAAUGCCGCUGGAAACUGUCUGGCUAGAGUCCGGAAGGGGCGAGUGGAAUUCCUGGUGUAGCGGUGAAAUGCGCAGAUAUCAGGAGGAACACCAAUGGCGAAGGCGAGUCUCUGGACAUUUCCUGACGCUGAGGCACGAAAGCCAGGGGAGCAAACGGG